UUUAACAUCUUAGUCAAAGUUUUUUUUCUCUUUUUUUUUUUUUACAGAAACGUACGUCAUUGAUCGGGACGAAUGCGUUUUUAUCGGAAUGCGGUUUAAGUUCCCGAAUCGUCCGUCGCGUCGAGCGGAAUGAAAUUGCUCAACGUUGAAAGCGAAAUUAAUUAUCAAGAAACUCACACGGAAGAGCUCGAAUUGUAGUCAAGCGUCUGUCCCUAAUGCUAAAGAGAACGUGGCAACGCGCUUAUAAACUUAAACAGAGACGAUCUAACGAAGCUCAACGAUCGGCAGCCCGCCUCGAUCCUUCUUUCCUUCCUCUCUACCUCCCCAAGAUUGAUCUACGCGGUCUCGGGAGGUAGCUUCUGAUCCCAGGCACGAUCUGAUCAGCUGCCAUUUAAUCUCAGCACGCCGCAAUUGUCAGCUCCUCGUGCCUCGUCUUUACUGUGCAUACACAGAGACUGACUCGGCUACUACGGGUGAUUAUUACGGGCUCCUAGGCAGGAAGAGAGUAUCGAGGGCGGUGCGCCGCGCUCCUGUGGGGUAACAGCUCCUCACAGCGAGUAACAAUAGGACCCAUAUUGAAAUAAACCCACGUCCACGUAGGUCGGACGAGGCGCGCGUAUUCUGUUAACCGGCGGUACGGAGGACUCCGCGGGCGAGGCUCAGGCCGCCGGUAUUGCUGGCACUGACAGCGAGGCAGUAGAGGUGGUGGCACACGGUACCAGCGAUGGCUACACGACUCAUCGGCAAGUGUGUGCGUGCGGCUCUUGGUGCCGGUGGACCUCUUACACUCCACUCAGUUCGAGCCGGGCGUCAGUGACUUCGCGUCCGCCGAUCCGAUCGGAUCCUCUCCAAAAGGUGUGCGCGUUCUACCGUAACUCGGGGAACGGAGUUCGGACGAAAUCGGACCGAAUUCUAUCGUCGAAUCUUAGGAAACGAACGUGCGGUGGUAGUCGGAGUAUUCUUUCUCGGAUAUUUUUCACUCUGUUAUCGGAAUUAUAUUUGUCUCCCUCGAUUUGCACGAUUCUUUCUGCACGACCACCGCGAUGCAACGCGACCUCGGCCGACAAGGUGUCUGAAGGAUAUCCCUGCGGGACUUCUCUACCUCCUUCUCUGGCCUUUGCCUUUCCUCGCGGGAUACGGUAGGUCUUGUUCAGAGGCUACCAGGAUGCAGCUCAGACCCAGUUAUCGAGGCGUCUGAAGGCACCCCGCGGCCCGCACGGCUCGGCAUAAAGCAAUAAAAGCGCUCGCGCUACGAGAUAUAUCUCGCGAGGCUCGCGUAAGAAACGGCGAAAGAAAGCCGACUGCACCGGUAAAUCAUAAACGCCACGGGGAUCGAACCCCGCGGGAGAUAACUGCCUUCGCGUAAGGAGA